rnacentral:rRNA from 1 species
UACACUCGUACGGGAGGCAGCAGUGGGGAAUAUUGGACAAUGGGCGCAAGCCUGAUCCAGCCAUGCCGCGUGAGUGAUGAAGGCCCUAGGGUUGUAAAGCUCUUUUGUGCGGGAAGAUAAUGACGGUACCGCAAGAAUAAGCCCCGGCUAACUUCGUGCCAGCAGCCGCGGUAAUACGAAGGGGGCUAGCGUUGCUCGGAAUCACUGGGCGUAAAGGGUGCGUAGGCGGGUCUUUAAGUCAGGGGUGAAAUCCUGGAGCUCAACUCCAGAACUGCCUUUGAUACUGAAGAUCUUGAGUUCGGGAGAGGUGAGUGGAACUGCGAGUGUAGAGGUGAAAUUCGUAGAUAUUCGCAAGAACACCAGUGGCGAAGGCGGCUCACUGGCCCGAUACUGACGCUGAGGCACGAAAGCGUGGGGAGCAAACAGGAUUAGAAACCCCUGUAGUCCC